GGGGGGGAAGCUAGGAUGAAAUUUGUAAAAAAAAGCAGGACAGGAGUUUUGAGUAAAAAAAAAAGGCAGGAUGAGCAACAUGGCAAAAAAAAAAAAAAGGCAGGAUGACAAUUUAUGUAAAAAAAAGUCAGGAUAAACUAAUAAAAAAAAAAGGCAGGAUCGAAUAGAGUGAAAAAUAGAAAGGCAGGACAGAGAUUACAACUUAAAAAAAAUGCAGGACAACAUUUUUCAUCCUACCCCCCCCCCCCCCCCCCCAUAAAAAUCAAAUGGUAACUCCCUUACACCUACAUGACAAAAACAUAUACAAAUAUGGUAUCAUUGGACAUUGCCAAUGUGACGGCUCUUCAACAGAAACUAAAGACGUAGAAGUUAACAACUAUAUAGGUCACCGUAGGCUCUUCAACAGAAACUAAAGACAGAAGUUAACAACUAUAUAGGUCACCGUACAGAUUUCAACAAUGGGCUAAAAAGCCAAACUGCGUAAUAAGCUACAAAAGGCCAAAAUAGAUAGACGAUAUCUGACAAGGGUAGAAAUGAUCAGAAUGUUGAAAAAUAAAAUCUACUGUCCAUUUUAAAUGGCAUCAAAACUGGCAGCUGACUCAUAGGAGUUGUUGCCUUAAAUACAGAUUUUUACCUUUUUUUUUUCUUCAUAUUUCUUGAAUUUGCCUUUUUAUCUCUAAAACUGUAAUAUUUAAAGAGAAACUUACAUUUGUAAAUCUUAUUAAAAAGUUAUUGCUUUUCAAUGAUGAUUUUGAUCCAGUUUUUGCAAAAACUUGGAAACUUUAAAUCUUGGGUAAACUCCUUAUAUUAUACUGCCUGGUCUCGUGGUAGCGUGUUAACCUCAAGUGCAGAAGGUUGUUUAUUUUGAACCCAACAGGGUAAAACCAAAGACUUUAAAGUUGGUAUUUGCUGCUUCUCCCCUAAGCACGCAGUAUUAUUAAGGAGUAAGAGCAAAUACUGGUUUGUUCAGAGUCAGAAUUAUGUGUCAAGGUAAGGUGACAUGUCUCUCUGAGAACUAGUGUAAGAGAUAAAUUAGUCCUUGUAAAAAUUGUCUGGUCAGACAAAUAUAACUAGUAUAAAAAGUCCAUGGAUACAGAAUUUACUAGUAUAUUUAGUCUGAUGUCAGUAAUUUAUGUCCCCAGACUAAUUUUCCUAGUCCAAGACAUCACUAUUCCUAGGUAAAAAUGUCCAGUUUUUAUACGGCCGCAAAAAAUUUUUGCGGUCGUAUAUUGGUAUGACAUUGGCGUCUUCGUCCGAAGACACAUUGGUUUUCGCACAAGAACUUUAGUUAAAGUGAAUGGAUCUAUAUGAAAUUUUACCAUAAGGUUCAAUACCACAAAAAGAAGGUUCGGAAUGAUUUUUGGGGUUAUGGUACCAACAGUUAAGGAAUUAGGGGCCAAAAAGGGGCCAAAAAUAAGCAUUUUUGUAACUUCCAGACAAUAACUUGUGUGUUAGUGUAUGGAUCUCUCUGACAUUGUACCACAAGGUUCCAUAUCACAAAGAGAAUGCUGGGAUUGAUUUUGGGGGUAAUUGCCUCAAAAUUUUAGGAAUUAGGGGCCAAAAAAGGGGCAAAAAACAAGCAUUUUUCUAGUUUCAUGACAAUUACUUGUGUGUAAGUGUAUGGAUCUUUCUGAAAUUGUACUACAAGGUUCCAUAUCACAAAGGGAAAGCUGGAAUUGAGUUUGGGGGUAAUUUCCCAAAACGUUUAGGAAUAAGGGGCCAAAAAGGGGCUAAAAAUAAGCAUUUUUCUAGUUUCCAGACAAUAACUUGUGUUCAAGUAUAUGGAUCUCUCUGAAAUUGUACUGCAAGGUACCAUACCACAAAGGGAAGGCUGGGAUUGAUUUUGGGGGUAAUUGCCUUAAAAUAUUAGGAAUUAGGGGCCAAAAAGGGGCAAAAAACAAGCCUUUUCUAGUUUCAGGACAAUAACUUGUGUGUAAGUGUAUGAAUCUUUAUGAAAUUGUACUACAAGGUUCCAUAUCUCAAAGGGAAAGCUGGGUUUGAGUUUGGGGGUAAUUGCCCUAAACGUUUAGGAAUUUGGGGCCAAAAAGGGGCAAAAAAACAAGCAUUUUUCUAGUUUCCAGACAAUAACUUGUGUUCAAGUGUAUGGAUCUUUCUGAAAUUGUACUGCAAGGUAACAUACUACAAAGGGAAGGCUGGGAUUGAGUUUGGGGGUGAUGAAUCAUAAGGGGAUUAAAAAAAUGGGGGGGGAUUUUUUUUUCCUAUUUUUUUUCUUUAAAAUUUUCCAUUUUAAGUUGGUUAUUUUUUAUUUAUGUAUAAAAGCAAAUAAUAAUGAUAUGAUUGAUUUCAUCAAAAAUUGAAAUAUUGGGCUUCUUUGAUAUGCUGAAUUUAACCGUGUAUUUAGAUUCUUAAUUUUUGGUCCCCUUUUCAAAGUGGUCUACAUUAAGGUCCAAAGGGUUCAAAAUUAAACUUAGUUUGAUUUUAACAAAAAUUGAAUUCUUGGGGUUCUUUGAUAUGCUGAAUCUAACCGUGUAUGUAUUUAGAUUUUGCAUAUUGGACCAUAAUAGGUAAAUUAAAAAAUUUUAAGUUCUUAGACCACAUUCAUUCUGUGUCAGAAACCUAUGCUGUGUCAAAUAUUUAAUCGCAAUCCAAAUUCAGAGCUGUAUCAAACUUGAAUGUUGUGUCCAUACUUGCCCCAACUGUUCAGGGUUCUAACUCUGCGGUCGUAUCAAGCUGCACCUAGCGGAGCAUUUUAUUCUAAUACUGUAUGCAACAUGUCAAGUAUAUUUGGUGUAUGAAAAUUUUUAAGGAUGUACAUGUUAGUCUGGCAUGUUUUAUUCGACCUUGACCUCAUUUUUAUGGUUCAUUGCUCAAUGUUAUUUUUUUGUUUUUUGGUCAGUUUUUCUAUUUUCUUAUUUUCAAAUUAGCAAUAGGUCAACUAUAUUUGGUGUAUGGAAUGAUAGUAAGGUGCAUAUCAUGAUAUGUUUGACUCAGAAGUUUCGUCUUACCUUGACUUUAUUUUCAUAGUACAUUGGACAAUGUUUAGUUUUUGUGGUUUGGUCUAUUUUUCGGAUACUGUAAGCAAUAAGGCCCCUAUAUUUGGUGAAUGGAAUGAUUGUAAGAUGCACAUGUCUGUCUGGCAUGUUUUAUAUGACCUUGACCUCAUUUUCAUGGUUCAUUGGUCAAUGAAAAGUUUGCAUUGUUUUGUCAGUUUAUCAUAUGCUUUAAGCAACAGGUAAAUUAUAUUUGGCGGAUGUAACGAUUGUAAGGUGUGCAUGUCUGUCUGGCAGAUUUAUAUAACCAUGACCGUAUUUUAUGGUUCUUUGGUCAAUGCUAAGUUUUCUUGGUUUUUUCUUUUUAUCAGAUAUUAUAAGCAUAUGUCUACUUGUAAGUGUAUGGAAUGACUGCAAGGUGUCAUAUAAAAAUAAGAAGUCUGUCUGCCAAGGUUAAUAUUACUGUGACCUCAUUUUCAUAGAAUAUUGACAAUAUUAAACAAAAAAAAUGAUGAGCAUGACAAGAUAUACAAAUGAUCCAAAAUUGUCAGUUGCCUACUAAUUAUGUAAUAGUAGUUAUUGUCAUUAAAUGAUAAUGUUUACCCUUUUAUGUGUAGGGCAAGAACAUUAAAGAUAAAGGGAAACUAUAAACAAAAGAGAUUAUCAACAAAAAUAGAUUUCAGACGUCAACAAAGCCUAAAUGGUCAGACAUCUUGGUUUUCAUGAUCAUCAUUCAACAGGUCAAUACUGAACAGAAAACUUAAAGUUGAUAUUUUUCUAUAUAGUGUGACUUUUUUAUUAAUUUGAAAUGGAAUGUGUUUUUUUCCUACAUAAGAAAGAGGAAAUUUCAACAUAAUGACUAUAAACAAAAAGGAGUCAUAUUAUCAUGAUCAUAGAUGCACAAGAACUAAAUCAUGUAAAUGCAACAACGUAAUUAUCAAUUGAAAGAAGGGAGGAAUGAAAAAAUAUAUUAGUAAUUUGUUGUCCAAAUGAACUUGCUUUGUCCACUCAUUUAAAUCGCUCCAUCCAAUAAAGAUGUACGGAGGAGGAUUAUUGAAGAACAGAUUGCAAAAAUGUUUUGUCUAAGAAUUGUAGGAAUAUUCUAGUGGAUGAAAUAAUUUAUUUACUUGACUCUUAUGUAGUGGACUGAAUAAUUGUACAUAGCAAGCUGAAACAAGAAAACUAAAACUUAACAGGAAAAGUGUUUAUUUUAUAAAUUUGCAAAUAUAAACGUAAUAUUAUGAACACCACAAAGGUAUAAGAUUCAAAUUGUUUGCAUAUUCAUGUAUUGCAAUGGAACUAUAACAAAGAAAACUUUACCUCAUUAAAAGAGUAAACUAUUAA